UCAUCCUGGCCCCACCAGGGCCUUGGGCAAGUCCUGCCCACCAUAGGCCUCUGCUACCUGCCAGUCAGCGGGGAAGUUCACCAGAUUUCGGCUGCUGGGGCCAGGACAGGCGUCUCCUAGGUUGUGCCAAACCAGCCUACAGAUGUUCCUGCCAGUGGUGCCUUCAGGCUGAUGCCAAUCUAGCCUCUCCUGUCUCUCAUCAGCCACCCUGACAGGGGACUUCAGAGCAGCAAGGCCCCAGCUGGCAGUAGCCUGACCAUCUGGACACAGCAGAGCCAGGGCGGCCCAGGGACGGCAGGAGAGCUCGCGGCACCUUCCUGAGGCCAAGCAAGGGGAGCAGGGUUAGGGCUGUUCCUGAAAGGCAGAGAGCCUCUUGCCCUGAGCCUCACAGCUACUCUUCUCAGCUCUCUGGGUCUGGAAGGAGAACAGGCUGAGGGGAGCUGAGAGGAGCUGAGGUGCUACCCGGAGCCCCAUUCACCCCCACCUGCCCACUUGGGAAUCUGAGGCAGAGGAGGGUGAGGCCUGUGUGCCAACCUUGUUCACAUACCACCUUCGUCCCCCCAGGCCCCGGCCCCACUCCUGGCUCUCAUUAUUUUUAUGUUAAAACUUUGAAGAAAUUGAACAUGACCUGUUGAAGAAAUUGAA
rnacentral:lncRNA from 1 species